GCUGGUAGCAUAGUGGUUAGAGCUGUGGUCUUUGGAUCCUAAGGUUGUGGGUUCAAUUCCCACCUCCAGCU
rnacentral:tRNA from 1 species